UAUUAUAGAAACGUUUCCCUC
ensembl:piRNA 21ur-13489 ncRNA